UCCAUGGACAGACCGGCGACGAGCUGCCUGCGGGUGAGAACGCAAUGUUCAGAAACGUGCUGCUCUUUCGGGUAUUGUUCCUCUCUGAAACCUGUUUUUGCUGCAACCUACCUCAUGCAAAAAUCACUAGAUCCAAGAUUCCCACAUCUUUUCUUGUUCACUUGUAGGUUUCAAAGUAGCAGCUAAGAGAAAUAGGCAGUUGUGCUUCAAAAAAAUCCGAUUGCGAUGGACGCUCUGGCGACUGGCGACGCCCCCAACGGCGCGGGCGCCGUGGCCACCCGGCCGCCCCCUUCGCCGUCCCCGCCCUCGAGCCCCGCCCCCCCCCCUCCCCCCCGCCGGCGUCCGCCCCCUCCUCGCCGGCCCCUCCCGGUUCGCCACGGCUNNNNNNNNNNNNNNNNNNNNNNNNNNNNNNNNNNNNNNNNNNNNNNNNNNNNNNNNNNNNNNNNNNNNNNNNNNNNNNNNNNNNNNNNNNNNNNNNNNNNNNNNNNNNNNNNNNNNNNNNNNNNNNNNNNNNNNNNNNNNNNNNNNNNNNNNNNNNNNNNNNNNNNNNNNNNNNNNNNNNNNNNNNNNNNNNNNNNNNNNNNNNNNNNNNNNNNNNNNNNNNNNNNNNNNNNNNNNNNNNNNNNNNNNNNNNNNNNNNNNNNNNNNNNNNNNNNNNNNNNNNNNNNNNNNNNNNCCCCGUCGUUUGCCGGGAUCGGGUCCCCCCCAAGGCCCAGCCACGGCCGCCACCUGACCUUGCCGGCGGCCCUUCUCCCAGGGGUGGGAGAUCGGCCGCCCGCGGGUCGGGUCGGCGCUGGCAUCUCCCCCCGGCCACCUCCCCGGAUCGGGUGACGAAAGGCACUGCCUUUGGGUCUGGGCUGCCCCCUCGGCGGCGUCGCGCUGGCAGCUGGGGAGUUGCCGGACGCGCUGACCGGGGCCCGGCGCUAGCCUCCUGGAAGCCCCCGCCCGUCGCCGGCCUCCCCUCGGCUCCGACCUCGCCUGCACCGGCCGGCCCGUCCCUGGCGUCCCCGCCCGCGCUCGCUCCGGCACCUCCUUGCCAGAACCCCUUCCGCCCCUUCCUCCCCUCCGGUCGGCCCGCCGGACCCCUUCCCCACGGCCGUCCCUCCGGCCCGCCUCCCCCUCGCCGCCCCCGUGCACCCCCGCCGGCGGCCACCGCGGUGGUGCUCGGGGAAACCCUAGCGCCCCGCUUGGUCACUCCGGGCUGCGGUGAUAUUGGGCCGGCCCACGGACCUGGUUCCUGGGCCCCCUCUCGGGAUGGCGGCUGCGGGUGCGGCCCAUGGGCGACCGUCCUCGGUGGCUUCGGUGGGCCGGCUUGGCAGGCCGGAUGGGCCCCGCCUGGCCCGUUCUCGCCCCAAGGCGUCCGCAGGCCCAUCGAUGCGGUCCAUUUGGCCGCCGGUAGGGUUCCCUCGCCCUCCAAUCCUCCCCACCCCCGCGCCGCCUGCUCCCUGCCUCGCCCCCUCGGCCGCUGCCGUCCCGCCUCGACUUCCCCUCGCCGGCGCUGCCGGCCUUCCCUCGCCUCCUUCCCCCUCCGCGCCACCCAUGCCUCGGGAAUGGGGGGACGACGCGGGGCGCCCCAAGCGUCGGGCGGACGACCGCCGCGACCCCCCACGCCCCUCCCCCGACGGCCGCUGGUGCGAGGACGACCUGCGGUAGCAGCUCUCCUCCCGGCCGGCGCGGUCCUCUCCGGCGCGCGAGACCCGCCUCUCGCCUUCUCGCCCCUCGCGCCGCUCCCCAGCCCGCGGCGACCGACGCUCCCGCUCGCCCUCCCGCCGCUCUUCACCGCGGGGGGAGUCGCGUGACCGUGGCCGGUCUCCGGCUCGGGAGGCUCGGCCGCCCCCUCGGCGUCGGUCCCCCUCGCCGACCCGUCGUCGGGUCCGGUCCCAUUCUCCACCCCGCCCGCUCCCCACCAACAACGGCGCCGACGCCCCUCCCUCCAGCCGCUACCAGCCCCCCCGCUCCCAGGUUGCGUUUCCGCCGUCCAACGGCGGCAACGGCAACCGGGGAUGCCCCGAGAUCCAAGAAGAAGAAGAAGAAGGGCCCUCCGCGCCCCCAAGCCGCCGCCUCCACCGCAAUCGCGGCUCCUCCUCCGGGUACCACCGCCUCGGCCGUGGUCCAGCCGUGCUUCAACUGCGGCUUGACCGGACACUUCCAGGUGGCGUGCCCCAACCCACUGACAUGCUACCUGUGCAAGGAUACCGGGCACCCCGCGAUUCUCUGUUCGGACCGCCCGGUGACUGAGGAGCUCAUGAUGUAUGGGCACGGCAUCGAGGACUUGGCCUUCUUCCACAUCGAGGUGCCCGAGCUCGCCCCGCCAUCCCCCUCGCUGCUGGCUUUGGUGACGGUUGUGGGUGAUGCCGUCGCCACCCCGGAGCUGAUUGAGGCUGAGCUCAACCACUUGUGCAGAUGCACGUGGGACUGGCAGGUGACCCCCACGGCUCCCAACGCCUUCUCAGUGGUCUUCCCUGACGCGAUGAGCAUGGGAUUCUGCAGGCGCAGCAACAACAUCACCCUGGCUCUCAACGACAUCGUGGUGAACAUCUCUGAGCCGCAGUGGGAUCCCAGAGUCGUCGCUACCCUGGACACGGCUUGGCUCCUCAUCUCCGGCCUCCCUGAUGUUGCCCGGUCCGAGCGGGUCAUCCGCAGUAUGUCCAAGAUCCUAGGCAGGGUGGUGGUGGUUGACGAGCUCUCCCUGCGCAAGGAGGAGGAGGUCCGGGUUAAGGUGAAAUGCCUGGACUCCUCCAAGCUCCUCGUCACGAUCCGUGUCUUCUUCAACGAUGACGGCUACGACCUCAAGAUCCGCCCCGAGCCUCCGUCCCACGUCGGCCGCCCCCGCCUCUCUGCUGGCAGCCUCAUGGGGGGGGCCGCUGAUGCUGACGACUCCCACCACCGCCGCUCGCGCUCCUCCCGCUUCGACGACCCUACCGAGGACAAGGAUGAGUCGGAGCACUCUCGCUCCCCGUCUCGGGACCCCCCAACCCUCCAGCGAGUCGGGGCGGGUCGGGGUCGGGGCGUACCUGGGUGUCGGCCGCCGAUCUCGCGGUGGCCCUCCGCCUGGCCACCCCGCUGGCUUCCUCCCCGUCUCCGUCGGCGUCGACCGGCGACAUCUCCAGCGUGAGCCUCCUCGUCGCCCCUCCAUCGUCACCCCGCUCCCCCGGUGCCGCCUCUGCCCGCCGCCUCGUGCCGCCGGGGGCUGAGCCCACGCCCUCCGCCGGCUCGCCUUCUCCGGUUUCUUCUGGGGUUGGCGGUGUCGGCGCGUCUCUGGGGCCGUCUGAUCCACCCCCCGCGCCGGUGCCGUCCGGCUACCACCUCGCCUCGCCGGCUUCCCCCGACGCCUCGGUGGCGGUGGACGUCUCCUCCCCGGCCUCCGCGCACCCCCCUCCGACGGUAGCGUACACCAGGAGGCCCCACUCCACCUCGACGCCGGUGACGUCCUCUCGCCACAGCGCCCGCCUGGAGGCGGCGCGGCCGGGCGACUCCCCUGCGCCUUCCGUCGCCGAGCGGGCGGAGCUCCGCGCCGUGGUCCGGAACCUCGAGUCAGGUGCGGACCCCGCCCCUCCCGGUUCUUCUCGUUGCUCCUUUUCUGCUCUCGAGGCCGCUCCUCUCGGCCACCUUGCUAAGGUGGCCAAUGACUCGGCCAUUGUCUUCAGGGGGGAGGUCGGUCCCCCCUUAGAUCAGAUCGCGGCCAUUAGGGCCCGGGAGAUCCUCGACGGCAGGCUGGCUGAGACUCGUGCCCGCCUGCUUCGGCCCCCGGAGGGCCCGCCCUCCACCCCCGCGGCUCCGGCUCCUCCGGUGGCCGACGGGAUUAUCCGUGGAUGCACUCGGUCUCGCACGGCCGCCCUUCGCGCGCAAAGCGCCUCUCGUGUCUUGGGGUCAAGCAGCCCCUCUUCUGGAACCUCCGCGGCUUCGGCCAUGAUGGUCGUCGCCGCCAGCUCAUCGAGUACAUCCGGGAAGAACACAUUGACAUCGUGGCCAUCCAAGAAACCCUUCGCUCCGAGUUCACCCUGCUGGAGCUUGAACACCUGAGCCCCCACCUCUUCGCUUGGCACUGGCUCCCUUCUAGUGGGACCUUAGGACACUCGGGUGGCAUCCUCUUAGGGGUUAAGGAUGCCACAUUUGAGGUGGGAGGCAUGGAUAGAGGGGAAUUCUUCGUUAGUAUGGAGAUCUUCAAGCGUGCCCUGAACUUCAAAUGGGAGGUCAUUGUUGUCUACGGACCGGCGGGUCACCGCCGCUCCCCGGCCUUCCUUGACGAGUUGCAGCUGAAGAUUUCUAACUCCCCCCCUCCCUGUUUUAGUGGGAGGCGACUUCAAUCUCAUCCGAUCCCCGGAUGAGAAGAAUAAUUCCCGGAUUAAUUUUCCCCGGAUGCAAUUAUUCAACGAUUGGAUCGCGGAUCUGGGGCUCCGCGAGCUUAACCGGACAGGUGCCAGGUUCACUUGGACCAACCGGCAAUCUAUCCCGACACAAUCCGUGUUGGAUCGUGUCCUAGUGUCCCCGGAGUGGGAAUUGCGUUGCCCCUUGGCAUCGCUCCGGGCGGUCACCCGGAUUGGCUCCGAUCAUGUCCCCCUUCUCCUCUCCACCGCCAACGAGCGCCCCCCCUCCCUGCUGCGGUUCCGGUUCGAGCUCUUCUGGCUCAACCAAACCGGCUUCCGGGAGGCCGUCGUCGCCCGCUGGAUUUCCGCUAGGUCGGCGCCCCAUCGCUCCAUGUCCGCUGUCGACUCAUGGCACUUUUGUGCCAAGCUUGCCCGCCAGUUCAUGAAGGGUUGGGGGGCUAACCUUGGCCGGGACCUUAGAGAGCGCAAGAAGACCAUCCUAAUUGCUAUUCAAGCCCUGGAUGCUCGCGCGGACUCGACCGGGCUCUCCUCGGAUGAGUGGAUGCUACGUUACGACCUGGAGGACCAGCUCUCCACCAUCUACACGGAUGAGGAGGCCUACUGGCGCUUGCGUGGUACCCAGAGGUGGGUGCUACAGGGCGAUGCCAACACCGCCUAUUUCCAGGCGGUCGCGAACGGCCGGCGCCGUCGCAACUCCAUCCACUGCCUGUGGGAUGGAGACUCGUCGUUAGUUCUCCCCGCGGCCAUCCGCUCUCAUGUGGAUAGCUUCUAUCGAGCCUUAUUUACCCCCACCCCGUGCGGUGGGGCUAGUCUCGCCCCCGACAUUUGGUCGGGCGCGCACGUAGUCUCGGAUGAAGCCAAUGCGGUUUUGGUUGCCCCCUUUAGCGAGGACGAGGUCCUCGCUGCCAUUAAGGGGAUGAACCCCUCCUCGGCCCCGGGACCGGAUGGUCUACCAAUGUCUUUCUUCAAGACGUUCUGGCCUACCAUCAAGCUUGAGGUCAUUUCUCUCUUUGAGGAAUUCUACUCGGGCUCCAUGGACCUGGGGCGCCUUAAUUAUGGGGUUGUGACCCUCAUCCCCAAGGUCCCGGGUGCCUCCGAUAUUCGCCAGUUCUGCCCCAUCACAGUGCUUAAUGUGAUUUUUCGGAUCCUGGCUAAAGGGUACGCCAAUAGGGUGACCCUCCUUGCGGACUCAAUCACCCACCCGAACCAAUCCGCCUUCAUUCAAGGCCGAUUUAUCCUGGAUGGGGUGUUGGUGUUCCACGAAGUCCUCCACGAGGUCCGCCUGAAGCGCCAUAGGGCGGUCUUUCUCAAGCUGGACUUCCACAAAGCCUACAACACGAUGCACUGGCCGUUCCUGAGGGAGGUCCUGCUCCGCAAGGGCUUCGAUGACCGUUGGGUGACCCGCGUCAUGCAGCUCGUCUCCUGUGGUCGGACUGCGGUGAACAUCAACGGCGACAUUGGGCCCUUCUUCCCUACCCUUUGCGGGGUCCGGCAGGGAGAUCCCUUCUCGCCGUUCUUGUUCAACAUGGUCGUGGAUGCCCUGGCCACCAUCUUGGAUAAGGCCACGGCUGCUGGGCAUAUUCGAGGCCUUGUCCCGCACCUUGUUGGAGGGGGAGGUGUUUCCCUUCUCCAAUACGCGGAUGACACCAUUAUUAUGGUCGAGGGUUCCGCCCUAGAGAUCUCGAACCUGAAGUUCCUUCUUCUGUGCUUCCAACAAAUGUCGGGCCUCACCAUCAACUUUGAUAAGAGCGAAGUGAUGGUACUCGGUUACCCCUCAGAGGACGCAUAGUCCAUUGCCGACCGGCUUAACUGUCGGCUGGGUUCUUUCCCCACGACCUAUCUGGGGAUCCCCAUUAGUGACACGCGCCUCACCGUGGCGGACCUCCGCCCCACGGUGACCCGUAUGCAACAUCGCGUAGAGCCCUGGAAAGGGCGUUGGCUGUCGAAGGCGGCACGCGUGAUCCUUAUCAACUCCUCGCUAGCUAGCCUCCUGUGGUUCCUCAUGAGCUUCUAUAGCCUUCAUGAAACGCUCCAUCAGGAGGUCGCCAAAUACCAGUCCAGAUUCUUCUGGGCUGGGGAGGAGGGCAAGCAGAAAUACCACAUGGUCAGCUGGCCAGAUAUCUGCAAACCCAAGGACCAGGGCGGUCUUGGGAUUCUGUCCUCUCGGCGCAUGAACAUCGCCCUCUUGACCCGCUGGCUCUGGCGCAUUGCCAAUGGGGAUGGAGGCCUCUGGCUCACUAUCAUCCAGAACAAGUACCUGCCUGGACAGCCACUCGUGUUCUGCCAACGCUCUGGCGGUUCCCAGUUUUGGCAGGCCGUCGUCUAGCUGCUGCCGGUCUUGCGUAUAGGCACAUCCAUCUCGGUGGGCACUGGAGCCUCGACCUUGUUCUGGCUGGAUAGAUGGCUCGGAGAUGCCCCUCUAGCCGCCCGGUUCCCCAUCCUAUUCGACAUUGUAGUUGACCCUCGGGUCUCAGUCGAGGCGGCCCUUAUUGACUUAGGGCGCCUCGCAUUCCGCCGCCCUUUUGGCCCCGCUGAGGUGGCUGCCUGGGAUGUCCUCCUCCAGGACAUCGCCCUCUUACCUAUGGACGUGGCCGACUCUCCGGACGCCAUCUCCUGGCGCCUAGAUCCCUCCGGCUGCUUCUCCACUAAAUCCCUCUACGCGGCUAUUGCCCCCUCGUCAGCCCCGGAGCCCUUCGGUCUGAUCUGGGACAUCCGCCUCCCCCUAAAGAUUCGGAUCUUUCUUUGGCAAUGGAUCCGCGGCCGCCUCCCGACCGGCGUUGAGGUUCUUAAGCGCCAUGGUCCUGGCGAUGGAAUGUGCCCCCUGUGUGGCACGGUAGAGGACGCUAAUCACAUCUUCUUCUCUUGCUACACAGCACAGUUCCUUUGGUUUUGUUUCCGCGAAAUGGUUGGGGGACAGUGGUGCAACACCAACUUCCCUGACUUGCUUGCGGAAAUUCAAGCCUCCCCCCCUCGCUACAGACAUAUUAGAUGGCUGUGCGUCGGGGUUCUCGCCUGGACGCUGUGGACGGUUCGCAAUAAGCUUGUCAUUCAGAAGGUGCCCCUUCGGCGUGCUACUGACUCCAUCUUCAAAAUGUGUGGUUACUUGCAGCUCUGGCGGCCGCUUAGCCGCCCUCAGGACCGGGACGCCAUCAACAGACUCCUCACCGACCUCCGUUCGUUGGCCUUCCGCCUGGCGCCUCCGCUCCCGCCGCCACCCCCGUAGCCCGACUAGAGGAUGUUUCCCUCCUGGCGCGUGUGCCUUUUUGUGUGUGUGUGUUGGGCUUGUUGAGCUGUGCCCUCAGCCGUAAGGCCCGUAACCCUUGUUGCUUGCUUUUGUUUGGACUCUGUGUGCGUGUGGCUUUGUGUGUGUGUGGACCUGUUGGAUGUUGGCUUUGGCAUUGGCUUUAUAUAUAAAGCGGGGCGUGAGCCUUUUUCGGUAAGUAGCAGCUAACCUAUCUACCAUUUGCCUUAUUAACUUCUCCAUCCUUGUUUUGAUAAGUUGUACAAGAGUCCACAUCUAUUUAUUUUUUAUGGUGAAACACUGAAAUGUGAUCAAGAAAUAAUAUACACGCAUGGGAAACUGCUAUCGAUCGGGUGAAGAGUUUAAUCAAGAUCUGUGUAUUUCUUUCUUACCUUGAACGAAACCUGAUAGGAUUCAUUUUGUUUUCAUACUUUGUGUCAACCAUGGAAGAACAUUAGCAGGCUUAUGAGGUCUGUCCUGCUCAGUUUGUUUAGUUUGGAGAUUAAAAUGUUUAAUUGAGCUCUGUGUAUUUCUUUGUUACCUUGAAUGAAACCUGGCAGGAUCAAGCUCCUAAGAUUGUUGAGCUGUUAUACUUCAGACCAAUUUUCAGAGUUCAUUUCUUUCUGUGGAAAGUGUUGUCAGAUUGUGUGAUUAUUUGGAAUGAUUAGUGCCG
rnacentral:lncRNA from 1 species